GAACUAUUCCCAUACCAUAUGGGAAUUAUACUCAUAAUUAUAGGAAUGAUUACCAUAAUAUAUAUGGGUGCCGUUCCUAUAAUCAACAUUUCAAAAAAACCAGUUACCAUGCAGUAUGGGAACCAUUCCCAUAAUAUAUUGUAACUGUUACCAUAAUUUUCUCACCGUGUACUGAAUAAGGCCUCAAAUUCGUAUAAAUUUGCAUUAUAUUUUAGUGCAUCGUUCUUCAGAAAAAACUAAUUCAGGCAUACGUUGAUCUACAUUAAGUCUACGGUGAUCUGAUUUUUCCAAAAAUAAGAUCUACAAGAUCUAGGAGGGAUUCAUUGCCAGGGAUUUUUUUAAGAGGUCUAUGAAAAUUUUUGGAAAUUGAUGGAAAUCAUCAAAGAUUUUCAGUGACCUCUGUAGCCCUGAUAUCAAAAAUUGAUGUUCGUAACAUCAAUCUGCACAGGCAUGCAUUAAUUGAAAUAGAUCACCAUGUUUCAAAUGAAAAAAAAAUGUAAUUUCAUAUUAUAAUAUUAUAAAAAAUGUUUUUUUCCUCAUAAUAAUUGAGAACUAUUAAACGAAAAUAUAUAAUAUAUGCAUAAUUUUUAUCACCACAAAUAAUUGUUUUAAUUAUCCGAAACUACGUUGUUUUAUCAAAUAAUUGCCGCAUUCUGAAAAUAAAGGUCGUCAUAUGUAAGACACAUCAGACUAUUUGACAGUAAACGUCAACGUAAAAAAUAGCAUUUUAGUAAUCACAGAAUAUUAUUUUAAUUCACAAGUCUUCUUGUGUAAAUAUAGUUUAAUUAUCAAUCUAUCAAGAAAAUGAAGAUUUUGUUCAUAAUUGUAAUAACUGCAUUUUGUGCUUUCGAUUCAGAUGCGUGUGGAAAUAGAGGUGGUCAGUGUCUAGCGAUUACUCAACCAUGUUGCGAUCCUUACUAUUGCAAUGGUAAAUUUCUACGAUGGGGAGUUUGCAUCGGAGGUGAAGCAACAACGAAAAGUCCAUACGCAGAUGCUAACUCUCUCGCGGACUUUUACAAGAUCAUGAAACAAAGAGGAGUUGCCGCACAUGUGAAGCAGUAUGAUGGGUUCUUUUAACACUCACUCGAUUCCAGUUGAUUCAUGCCCCUAUCAAAAAAGUCCAUGUGGGAUUACAUAGGAACCCAUAUAGAAAAGUAUGAAUUUAUGUAAGAAUCCAUAGGAAUUAAUGUGUACAAUUUUUAUAUAAAUCCCAAUACUCCGACUUAUAUAAGAAUCUAUGUAGAAAACCAUGGGAAUCUGGAUGUGGAUUUCUUUGUGGGAAAUUUAUACAGAAAUUAGAGUUUCUAUGUAAGUAAUUUCUACAGAACCCGAGGUAUCAGGAUUUUAAUGUCUAUUUACUGUUGAUACGAGUAUAUGAAUCUAUGCUGGAUUCCUACAGAAAACCAUAUGGGUCCAUCCGAAAACGCCAUCUGGGAACCCAUAGUUCCAUUUUAAAUCUAGGCUGGAUUAAUAAAAAUUUUCUUUAAUAUUUUUUUUUUUUAAACAACUACGAACUAUUAUACAAAAAACACAAUAAGUGAAUCAUCUUUAUCACUAAAAAUAAUCGCUUAAAUUAUUGAAGCAUAAAAAAUAAGUUUAUCGAAUGCUUACCACGUUCUGAUAAUGAAAGCCGUUAUUACUUAACAUACAUUGGAUUGUUUCAAGAUAAACGCAAGCGUAAAAAACAGCCUUUUAAUAAUUACAUAAUAUUAUUUUUUAAAAUUUAAAAAUCUACUUGCGUAAAUUUAGUUAAGCUAUCAGCCCAUCAAGUAAAAUGAAGAUUUUUUUUAAUAAUCCUGAUAAUUACAUUGUUUGCUUCCAAAUUAGAUGCGUGUCAACGUGAGGGUAAUGUGUGUAACAAGAUUUGGAAACCUUGUUGUGAUGGUUACUAUUGCAAUAAAUAACCGAGAGACGGACUAUGUUUCUCAAAUACACCAAAGCCAACUCCACAGGUGAAGACCGACAGCCUACUGGACCUUUAUGACAUACUGAAUAAAAAAGGGAUAACCAAGAAUUAACUUAUUUAUGCGCAAAUUCUAUCAUAUAUUAUUUAAUUGUAUUUACUGAUAUUCCAAUAGCAUAUUUUAUUUGUUUUCUGAUAAAUCGACAUUAAAUUAUGCGCGGUUUCCUUAAAAUUACACAUUAAAAUAUAAUGUUAUAAACAAUUGUUGUUUGUAUUUAUAAUUAAUAAAAAAUAGCACGUAUUGAAAAUAAA